rnacentral:rRNA from 2 species
GGUUGAUCCUGCCGGACCCGACUGCUAUCGGAUUGAGAUUUAGCCAUGCGAGUUGAACGUCCCUUGAUUGCAGGGGGCGUAGCAUACGGCUCAGUAACACGUAGUCAACCUGCCCUGGAGACGCGGAUAACCCCGGGAAACUGGGACCAAUCCGUGAUAGGUCGCCCCAUCUGGAAGGAGGGGCGGCCCAAAGGGGAAUUGUGGGCUUCCACUUUUCUCGCUCUAGGAUGGGACUGCGGCCGAUCAGGCUGUUGGCGGGGUAAUGGCCCACCAAACCUGUAACCGGUACGGGCCUUGAGAGAGGUGGCCCGGAGAUGGACACUGAGACAAGGGUCCAGGUCCUACGGGGCGCAGCAGGCGCGAAACCUUCGCAAUGUGCGAAAGCAUGACGAGGUUAAUCCGAGUGGCUUCCGCUGAGGAAGUCUUUUGCCGACUGUAAAAAGGUCGGAGAAUAAGGGGAGGGCAAGUCUGGUGUCAGCCGCCGCGGUAAUACCAGCUCCUCGAGUGGUCGGGGCGAUUAUUGGGCCUAAAGCAUCCGUAGCUGGUUCCGUAGGUCUCCUGCAAAAUCCAGUCGCUCAACGAUUGGCCCGCAGGAGAUACCGCGGGACUAGGAGGCGGGAGAGGUGGACGGUACUCCACGUGUAGGGGUAAAAUCCUUUGAUCCGUGGAAGACCACCAGUGGCGAAGGCGGUCCACCAGAACGCGCUCGACGGUGAGGGAUGAAAGCUGGGGGAGCGAACCGGAUUAGAUACCCGGGUAGUCCCAGCCGUAAACGAUGCUAGCUAGAUGAUCCGAUCGUAGAUCAUGAUCGGAGUGUCGCAGGGAAGCCGUUAAGCUAGCCGCCUGGGGAGUACGGUCGCAAGACUGAAACUUAAAGGAAUUGGCGGGGUAGCACCACAAGGGGUGAAGCCUGCGGUUCAAUUGGAGUCAACGCCAGGAAACUUACCAGGAGAGACAGCAGAUUGAGGGUCAGACUGAAGAUCUUACCUGACGAGCUGAGAGGAGGUGCAUGGCCGUCGCCAGCUCGUGCCGUGAGGCGUCCUGUUAAGUCAGGCAACGAGCGAGACCCAAAGGGCGA